UAUGCGUCGUCGUGUUCGUCGUCG
rnacentral:miRNA from 1 species